AAUACGGGAAUGAUGUUCUCCCGAGGCUUCCCCUCAAAGGGCCGCCUGAACCGCUUAUACAGCUGAUGACUUCUGCGUU
rnacentral:ncRNA from 1 species